rnacentral:rRNA from 1 species
AUGCUUAGUAACGGCGAGUGAGCGGCAAAGCUCAAUUUGAAAUCUGGUACCUUUGGUGCCCGAGUUGUAAUUUGGAGAGUACCACUUUGGGACUGUACUUUGCCUAUGUUCCUUGGAACAGGACGUCAUGGAGGGUGAGAAUCCCGUGUGGCGAGGGUGUCAGUUCUUUGUAAAGGGUGCUCGAAGAGUCGAGUUGUUUGGGAAUGCAGCUCUAAGUGGGUGGUAAAUUCCAUCUAAAGCUAAAUACAGGCGAGAGACCGAUAGCGAACAAGUACAGUGAUGGAAAGAUGAAAAGAACUUUGAAAAGAGAGUGAAAAAGUACGUGAAAUUGUUGAAAGGGAAGGGCAUUUGAUCAGACAUGGUGUUUUGCGCCCCUUGCCUCUCGUGGGCUUGGGACUCUCGCAGCUCACUGGGCCAGCAUCGGUUUUGGCGGCCGGAAAAAACCUAGGGAAUGUGGCUCUGCGCC